GAUGAAGAACGUAGUGAAAUGCGAUAAGUAAUGUGAAUUGCAGAAUUCAGUGAAUCAUCGAAUCUUUGAACGCACAUUGCGCCCAUUAGUAUUCUAGUGGGCAUGCCUGUUCGAGCGUCAUUAAUUCCACUUAAGCCCUGCUUAGUGUUGGGAAUCUACUCUAGUGGUGCUACCCUGGAGCUACCCCUGAAAGGGGGCUGGCCCGGUAGCUACCCUGUAGUUCCUCAAAGAUAGUGCGCGGAGUUGCGUGGUCCUCUGAGCUUAGUAACUAUACACCUAGCUUUUGAGUGUCCCGCGGCGCCUGCCGUUUAAACCCCAUCUUUUAAUGGUUGACCUCGGAUCAGGUAGGAAUACCCGCUGAACUUAAGCAUAUCAAUAAGCGGAGGA
rnacentral:misc_RNA from 1 species